rnacentral:rRNA from 1 species
CUGCUGCCUUCCGUAGGAGUUUGGGCCGUGUCUCAGUCCCAAUGUGGCCGUUCACCCUCUCAGGCCGGCUACUGAUCGUUGCCUUGGUAGGCCAUUACUCCACCAACUAGCUAAUCAGACGCGGAACCAUCGUAUACCACCAGAGUUUUUCACACCGCUUCAUGCGAAGCUGUGCGCUUAUGCGGUAUUAGCACCUAUUUCUAAGUGUUAUCCCCCAGUAUACGGCAGGUUUUCCACGCGUUACUCACCCGUCCG